UACGGGGGGGGCAAGCGUUGUUCGGAAUUACUGGGCGUAAAGGGCUCGUAGGCGGCCAACUAAGUCGAACGUGAAAUCCCCGGGCUCAACCCGGGAACUGCGUCCGAGACUGGCAGGCUCGAAUCCGGGAGAGGGAUGUGGAAUUCCAGGUGUAGCGGUGAAAUGCGUAGAUAUCUGGAGGAACACCGGUGGCGAAGGCAGCCUUCUGGGCCAACACUGACGCUCAUGCACGAAAGCGUGGGGAGCAAACAGG
rnacentral:rRNA from 1 species